rnacentral:rRNA from 1 species
CUGGUGACUUUUAGUAGUGGCCAACACUCUAGCCAGAUUGAUUUCAUCCUCUCGAGAAGAGAAGAUAGGCGUGCGUGCCUAGACUGUAAGGUGAUACCUGGGAAGAGUGUUGUACCCCAGCAUAAGCUGGUGGUUGCUGACUUCCGCUUUCGGAUUCGUGUCCAGCGGGAUAAGCGUGCCAAGGUUGCUAGAACGAAGUGGUGGAAGCUCAAGGGGGAGGUAGCUCCGGUGUUCAAGGAGAGGGUAUUUAAGGAGGGCCCUUGGGAGGAAGGAGGGGAUGCGGACAAUGUGUGGAUGAAGAUGGCGACAUGCAUUCGUAAGGUGGCCUCGGAGGAGUUUGGAGUGUCCAGGGGAAGGAGAAGCGAAGAUAAGGAUACCUGGUGGUGGAAUGAUGAUGUCCAGAAGGCGCUUAAAGAGAAGAAAGAUUGCUUCAGACGCCUAUACCUGGAUAGGAGUGCAGACAACAUAGAGAAGUACAAGAUGGCGAAGAAGGCCGCAAAGCAAGCUGUUGGUGAAGCAAGGGGUCGGGCAUAUGAGGACCUCUACCAACGGUUAGGCACGAAGGAAGGUGAAAGGGACAUCUAUAAGAUGGCUAAGAUCCGGGAGAGGAAGACGAGGGAUAUUGGCCAAGUCAAAUGCAUCAAGGACGGAGCAGGCCAACUCUUGGUGAAGGACGAAGAGAUUAAGCAUAGAUGGCGGGAGUACUUCGACAAGCUGUUCAAUGGGGAGAAUGAGAGUUCUACCAUUGAACUGAAUGACUCCUUUGAUGAGACCAGCAUGCGUUUUGUGCGGCGCAUCCAGGAGUCUGAGGUGAAGGAGGCUUUAAAAAGGAUGAAAGGAGGCAAGGCGAUGGGCCCUAAUUGUAUCCCCAUUGAGGUGUGGAAAGGUCUCGGGGACAUAGCGAUAGUAUGGCUAACCAAGCUUUUCAACCUCAUUUUUCGGGCAAACAAGAUGCCA